CUAUUAGGUUGGUGCAAAAGUAAUUGCAAUUCUUGCCAUUUAGUUUACUUUUGCAAUUUACUUUUAAAUGGCAAAAACUGCAAUUACUUUUGCAUCAACCUAAUAUUU
rnacentral:miRNA from 1 species